UGCAGAAUCCCGCGAACCAUCGAGUCUUUGAACGCAAGUUGCGCCCGAGGCCACCUGGCCGAGGGCACGCCUGCCUGGGCGUCACGCCAAACACGCUCCCACCCCCUCAUCGUGAGUGGGAUGCGGCUUGUGGCCCCCCGUCUCGCAAGGGGCGGUGGGCCGAAGAUGCGGCUGCCGGCGUAUCGUGUCGGACACAGCGCGUGGUGGGCGACCUCGCUUUACUUACCGCAGUGCAUCCGGCCUGUUGCCGACGUGAUGGCCUUGAAGGACCCUAUAAACGGAGCGCACGACGCUUCGACCGCGACCCCAGGUCAGGCGGGACUACCCGCUGAGUUUAAGCAUAUAAAUAAGCGGAGGAGAAGAAACUUACAAGGAUUCCCCUAGUAACGGCGAGCGAACCGGGAUCAGCCCAGCUUGAGAAUCGGGCGGCCGUGCCGUCCGA
rnacentral:rRNA from 1 species